UUUGUGAACUUAUACCUUACUGUUGCCUCGGCGCAUGCCGGCCCCCCUGGGGGCCCCUCCUUCUGGAGGAGCAGGCACGCCGGCGGCCAACCUAACUCUUGUUUUUACACUGAAACUCUGAGAAUAAAACAUAAAUGAAUCAAAACUUUCAACAACGGAUCUCUUGGUUCUGGCAUCGAUGAAGAACGCAGCGAAAUGCGAUAAGUAAUGUGAAUUGCAGAAUUCAGUGAAUCAUCGAAUCUUUGAACGCACAUUGCGCCCUCUGGUAUUCCGGAGGGCAUGCCUGUUCGAGCGUCAUUUCAACCCUCAAGCCUGGCUUGGUGAUGGGGCACUGCUUUUACCCAAAAGCAGGCCCUGAAAUUCAGUGGCGAGCUCGCCAGGACCCCGAGCGCAGUAGUUAAACCCUCGCUUUGGAAGGCCCUGGCGGUGCCCUGCCGUUAAACCCCCAACUUCUGAAAAUUUGACCUCGGAUCAGGUAGGAAUACCCGCUGAACUUAAGCAUAUCAA
rnacentral:rRNA from 1 species